rnacentral:lncRNA from 1 species
ACAAGAGCACCGUUAUAGUACAGCUUGCUUAUUGGGCCAGCAUGUACAGCUUCCAGAGGAGUUAAAUUCAUUGCACCUCCCCGAGCACUUGUGUUGCAAACGAGCAAAGGCUGAAUGGUCUAUAAAUACCUUUACUAUCAAGGAUUUGGUUUCUUUCCAGGACUAAGCAAAAAGAGUCGAGGCACCUGAAACUUUAUCUUCUCCCCUCUGGGGGAGCGGUACAGCUGCUGCCACUCGCAACUACAACACCGCUCGCACCAGAAGAGCCGCCACCCUGACUGCUCCCACUACAGGAAAAAAAAAAAAUCAAAUCAAGAAACAAACAACAAAACAAAACAGCCCACCUAAACUAAAGCUGUGCGGAGCAAGGUAAAGUUGAAUUAAUAAAGGGAAGGGGGAAAAAAAAAAAAAGGAAAAAAAGAAAACCACGAGAAAAAGCCAGCCCGUGCCCUGUCGCGCUCCCCCCUCAGCCCACGGUCCCCCCGCGCCGGGACCGACCCCGCCGGGCUGAGUGGGAGAAGCACAGAAGGCGGGCGCCUACCGGAGCGGCUGCGGAUGAUGUCUCGGAACUCGUCGGCGGCGGGGUCCCCACCGGCAGAGGCAGCGGGCCCGGGGAGCCCCGCGUCAGCCAUGUACGGGGCUGCGGAGAGAGAGAUAAAGCAGAACUGGAGCCCUCUGGAGUGAUCUUUCCAUGCCCACACCUGCCUGGACAGCAAGAAGCUACCAGAGAUCUCUAAUGAAUGCGGUAUAGGAGUCCAGUUGGAAUCAACAAGGAUUAAAGGGAAGACAAAGCUUCACCAAAAUUCAGCUUAUUAGCUUCUUUGCUAUUUUUGGUUGGCCUAAUUAGAAUUUCUGCAUCUUUCAUUAUGGCUUUGCUUCAGUGAAGUGCAAGGCCAUAGUAAUAAUAAACACAUAUCUCAAUGAAUAAAUU